AUUGAACGCUGGCGGAAUGCUUUACACAUGCAAGUCGAACGGCAGCACGGACUUCGGUCUGGUGGCGAGUGGCGAACGGGUGAGUAAUGUAUCGGAACGUGCCCAGUCGUGGGGGAUAACGUAGUGAAAAUUACGCUAAUACCGCAUACGAUCUAUGGAUGAAAGCGGGGGAUCGCAAGACCUCGCGCGAUUGGAGCGGCCGAUAUCAGAUUAGGUAGUUGGUGGGGUAAAGGCCCACCAAGCCAACGAUCUGUAGCUGGUCUGAGAGGACGACCAGCAACACUGGAACUGGGACACGGUCCAGACGCCUACGGGAGGCAGCAGUGGGGAAUUUUGGACAAUGGGCGAAAGCCUGAUCCAGCCAUUCCGCGUGCAGGAUGAAGGCCCUCGGGUUGUAAACUGCUUUUGUACAGAACGAAAAGGUUUCUACUAAUACUAGGAGCUCAUGACGGUACUGUAAGAAUAAGCACCGGCUAACUACGUGCCAGCCGCCGCAGUAA
rnacentral:rRNA from 1 species